GACGAACGCUGGCGGCGUGCUUAACACAUGCAAGUCGAACGGAAAGGCCCUGCCUUUGUGGGGUGCUCGAGUGGCGAACGGGUGAGUAACACGUGAGUAACCUGCCCUUGACUUUGGGAUAACUUCAGGAAACUGGGGCUAAUACCGGAUAGGAGCUCCUGCUGCAUGGUGGGGGUUGGAAAGUUUCGGCGGUUGGGGAUGGACUCGCGGCUUAUCAGCUUGUUGGUGGGGUAGUGGCUUACCAAGGCUUUGACGGGUAGCCGGCCUGAGAGGGUGACCGGACCCAUUGGGACUGAGAUACGGCCCAGACUCCUGCGGGAGGCAGCAGUGGGGAAUAUUGCACAAUGGGCGGAAGCCUGAUGCAGCAACGCCGCGUGCGGGAUGACGGCCUUCGGGUUGUAAACCGCUUUCGCCUGUGACGAAGCGUGAGUGACGGUAAUGGGUAAAGAAGCACCGGCUAACUACGUG
rnacentral:rRNA from 1 species